rnacentral:lncRNA from 1 species
GCCCAUGAUACCCCCAUAUAGUGCGGUUACUUGUAGGAAUGUAUGAUAAAAGUAAGGAUGACAAGUAUAUCUUUUACGAAUAAAAUUAUAUCAUUCUAAACAUAGUGGAAUUUUUUGUAGCUACAGAACCCUUGCCCAUUUCUAAUGCUCUGUACUGGCAGCUAUAUUCCGGCGUGCUCUUGAAAUAUCAAUUGGCCAUGUCAAGGGGACGGCUAAAUGUAUCUCGGAAUAAAAUUAUCCCGCAUACAUGUCCUGACUUUGAUAAGAUUACUGAGCCACAUUGAAAUCAGGUAAACAGUUAUGUCACCAAUACACAUACAUAUGUAUACAUAUGUGUAAAGUGCACGCAUGUGUGCAGUACAUGUAUGCAAGUGGGCGUGAGGGUUCGCCAGUGGUGUCGCGAUGCCGCGGCAGCUGUGGCCUACAACUAUUUCGCCAUUAAAAUGCAGUUUAAGUUUCAGACAGUCGUGUUUCUCUGCUCCUCGCUAAAUAUGCUUCAUAUUUCAUUACGUGGAACCAGUUGAUCACUCGUUCUUUUGCACUUCAUGGCAGAAAUAAGUACUGUGAUCCUUUUGAAGUCGCCUUCAAUAUACACAACAAACUCUGUAUUGAUAUAGCUUAUCGAAUGACGGAUUUUCAUAAUUUCUGAAGCACGAAACUUAUUUUUUUAAUAAUCCAAGCAGGAAUUGGAAUUCAGAGGCUUUUAAUCUGGGAACAAAACAGGUACUAAUCUAGAAUAUGUAUGCGUUUUUGUCUAUUCUUGGAUAUAGAGAUGGAAGGAGAUCUUCAAUAAAAUAAUGGUUAGUAUACUGGACUCAUCUUAUGAGGAGAAACGGGACAGAGGUCACAAAUGAUCCGGUAACAAUUUUGUGGUGUGUUAAAGCCUGUUCAGGUGGGUGACAAUCUAAGGCGUCCAUUUUUGUCUAUUAUUUGUAAUAGAACAUAGAAACGCAUGCUACAACGCACACGUGGCUGUGCUGCGCUGCUGACACAAAUGGGAAUUUUGACCUCCGCAAGCAGACUGACUGCGUUAUAGAAUCCAAAAUGAGGAUUUCCGCAGGAGAAACAAAAUGGGCGAGAUAGCUCGAAAGAUAAGCAAGCUGAAUUGGUAAUAUGCCGGCUACAUUGUCUGUAGAACCUAUAACUAGAAGAAGAAAUUUCUUGUAAUUGUUUAUAUUUAUAAUAAGUUUACUAUUGUAAUCUUUUGGAGGUAACAAUAAAGAGUAUCUAUCUAUCUAUCUAUCUAAGAAAUGUUCCUAAUUGGUGGUCUCUUAUAGGCAAAUGAAAUGUAGGUCAAACUCUCUCUAGAUGAAGCGACGACCUUGCAUCUGAUACAAACAGUCCGAUGCAGGCGGAUAUAGAUUUCCAAGCAUAGUAGUUUAUAUUUUCAUGCAGUUCGGAGAGGUAAACAAGCUACGUGAUAGAUAGUUGUAAUGGCGAACAUUGGAAAUAAAUAUGGGAUCAAUAUGGUUGUGAAUUUACACAUAUUAGUUCUUAGAAUGCUCGAUCUGUCAGUGUGUAUUGUCCAAUAUGUAGGCGAUAGUUAACGUCGUUUGUCAGCUUGUAUCAGCAAUUUUAACAAUAUAAUAUUUCAGCCUGUUUUCCAUUUCCAGUCGUAUAAAAAAGUUGCAACCAAAAAGUUGUUCUCUUGUUUUGCCAACCUUGAACAUGUUUUGAUUAUUGUGCACUGUGUUGAUGUAAUAUGCUUAUAUUGCAUAUGUAUGUAUGUGUCCACAUGGCUACGGUGUCUCAGUUGGCAGCGGGCAGUGUGUAGAUAUGUGGUAUGUAGAUACAGUUGCCGCCACAUGACGACAGUGCACGCGGCCUGAUGUCCAUUUGGUGGCUGUGGCUGGUCGGUCGGCGACCCCGCGCGCGGCCGUGGGCGCCGCGAUAAACUUUAUAUACACGUAUUUACUAAUGUGUAUAUACACGCGUAUACGGCGGCCGCCAUAAGCCGCUGUAUCGCUUCGGCUGGUUAUGUUCGAUACCGUUACAUUUCUUGCUUCGGAUCUCGCUCGGCGGCUCCGCGCCGCGCUCGGCACGCAGCGCGCCGCCUCGAUACAGAGCGGGCGUCUUCACGCCGAGGGGUGAACUCGCUCGAGGAGGUGCCCUGUAUUUGCAAAGGAAUCCAUUAUAAUGUCAAAUAUGUAAUAAGUUACAUUUAAAAGUUA